rnacentral:lncRNA from 1 species
GCAGGUGGCCUGGGUGGGAACCUGGUGCUGUUGCUUGCCCGUCGUGUGAUCUUGGGACAGUGCCAUAACCUGUGAGCUGCCAUCUCCCUGGCAGUAAAAUGGCUCCUCGGGUCUCUUCCUCGCAGGGGUCCUGGGAGGUGAAGUGAGCCCCUCCACGGGAGGCCCUGGCACUCGCCCCACGUGCAGACCGCGCUCGAUACACAUCGCCCAUAGUCAUCAGGCCCCGGAACCGACCGCCACUCAUGCCUAUCUCAGCCAGGCUUGGGCGCUGUCCUCUGGUCACCAGCCCCUCGUUGAUUCCCCACCCACUGCCAUGCUGGGGCCUGGCCCCUUCAUCCUGGUGGAUGGGGGAGAGCGGACAGCAGGAGCAGCGAGCUCCAUUCAGGGCUGAGCAAGAAUGGCCUCCAGGAUCCCACAAGGAAAGGCGGGGCUGCGGUUUGAACCCAGAUCUCUCCAGACUGUUCCACUACAACCCAUGGCUGCCCAUGAGAACCACCUGGAAAGCUUUGGACAACACCGAAACCCAGUUCCCAACCCCAGACCGCAAGUAGAGUCCCUGGUCAGGGGCCCCACCCAGCCCUGUGAUCCCAGCUCCACCAGCAGAGGCAGCAGAUCGGGGGUCCAGGGCCUCAGUGCACUCCCAUCCCCGUCGGGGUGCUCCGGCCCUGCUCCUCCACCCCUCAGCCCUGGCUCCCAGCACUCCAGACUCACACUUGGUUUUGGAGUCUUUGCCCAGGAGUAACCCCCAAACGUGUCCUGGUCCUUCCUACGGUGGCAGGCACUGGGGAACCCUCAGCUCUGAGUGUGGGAACACGUGCUGGGACUUAUCGGCGUGGUAGGUCCAGCCAGGUUUGAAGUUGGACAGGCCCACUCCCUGGAGAGACACCUGGUCCCAUGCACACACAAAGGCCACGGAGCCUGUUAGGUGGAGGCUCCUGGGGCCUCAGCUGCUCCGACCUCACCUCAGGAGGCUCAGCCGCUCUGACCCCACCCCCGCCACUUCCUGGCAGGAUGACCUUGGGAAGGCUGUUUUGCCUCAGUUUCCUCAUCUGUAAAAUGCCUAGAACGGCAGCUCCCUCAUGAGGAGGCUGAGACACCCCACGGUGUAACACAGGAAAGAUGCUGAGCUCUGCCGGUGUGGUGGGGAGCGAUGAGUGCUCCAGAAACGGUCCCCACGCUCCACUGUGUGCCGGAGCCUCUGCACUUGGGCCACCGUUUCCUGCGCCUUCUGUAGGAGCAGCAUGGCCUUGGCGCACGCUCGCCCUGCGUGAGCAUGGUGUCACUCUCCUCCCGUGCCGUCUCUUUCCCAUUUUAAACAUCUCCAAGGUUGACAGCAAAGGCUUCUGGGGCUCCAGGGUCACAGCCAAGGGCAGAUGAGAUCAAGUACAGCCACACUGCCACCCUUGUUCCCUUCAUUUUGUGAGACUUCGCCUCCGGCAAACACGAGGCCCAGAAUGUUCCACCAGGGUAGCAGCAGGUGCCCAGCUUGGGGAGGGAAGAGGCGCCGAGCGACCCCCCCAGCCCCUGCCCUGCGCAUGCCCCUUGUCUCCUCGAUGCGCCUCCCCCACCU